GCCACCUGAACAGUGGAAACGGGAAACGAGGGCAGCUGGAGGGGGGAGCGUGCACCAGCUGGCCCUGCUCCUGAGGCAUUAUAACUGGAUUCUUUGGGGUAGAAGGGUGUGAGGUCUCAGGUCAUUUCCUGCCAGGUUUGCUCUGAAUGGGAGGGGGAUAUGUAAUUGUGCUGUCUCCUUGUACCAUUAGUGUCAAGACUCAUUAGGAACUCAAUCUACUCAGUGGCAGUAGGCAUACAAAAGAAAGAACUAGCCAAAGUCUGCAGACUGCAGAGCAGGAGUUGGUGGAGGGAGCAAUUGUAAAUUCCCGUCUGGGUAAUUAGAGUCAGCAGGGAAUCAGAUUGGCUACGGCAGGGCUUUCAUUUUUCCCCUUGCUGUUUUAACGGGAUUGGCAGGUGCUGCUUUAUUCCAGGGGUGAGGUGAUGUGCCUGUGUCAUAAUUCACAAUGAGAAAUGAUCAUCAAUUUGCUACCAUGCUCCUGGGGUUCCUGUCUGGAAUGAAUCAGCUCAGAUCUAUAAGCUGCUUAGACCUUCCAAGCACUGUAGCUUAAAUAAUGGCAAUAGAAGCUUUGUUAGCUCCUGAUUUUUAUAGGUUUAAACACAGAAAAGAGGGAGCCAAUAUCUGUAGCCUCCUUUGGCUGCAGGGAGAGGGAUUGCUCUGCCUGGUUUCUUAGGAACACCUAAUAAAGCAAGACAGUACCUAGUGCUGGGUGCAUGAGCUUCUCCUGCUCUACCACCCUACUAAAGGUUUGUAGAAUUUUGGUAGGUGAUAAGGAAGGAACCUGAAGAGUGAUGCACCAGGGCUGGGAGUCACUGCUAAGUGCUGUCCUAGCC